UACGUAGGGUGCAAGCGUUGUCCGGAAUUAUUGGGCGUAAAGAGCUCGUAGGCGGUCUGUCGCGUCGGCUGUGAAAACCCGGAGCUCAACUCCGGGCCUGCAGUCGAUACGGGCAGACUGGAGUUCGGCAGGGGAGACUGGAAUUCCUGGUGUAGCGGUGAAAUGCGCAGAUAUCAGGAGGAACACCGGUGGCGAAGGCGAUCACCUGGGGUUGUUCUGACGCUGAGGAGCGAAAGCUAGGGGAGCAAACGGG
rnacentral:rRNA from 1 species